rnacentral:tRNA from 1 species
CGGAGCGUAGCGCAGUCUGGCAGCGCACCUGAUUUGGGAUCAGGGGGUCGCAGGUUCGAACCCUGCCGCUCCGACCA